CAAAUACUCCCUCCGUCCGGAAAUACUUGUCAUCAAAAUGGAUAAAAGGAAAUGUAUCUAGACGUAUUUUAGUUUUAGAUACAUCUCUUUUUAUCCAUUUUGAUGACAAGUAUUUUCGGACGGAGGGAGUAGAAA
rfam:Triticum aestivum genome assembly, contig: Triticum_aestivum_CS42_TGACv1_scaffold_190697_2DS